AUGCUUUUGCUGGGGACAGAACAGGAAUGGAGUCUUAGAACUAGGUACACUGCUCGCGGCAGUCCCAGCAGCUCCUUGGUGCCCUGGUCGGCCGGCAGCCCAGGUAGCUCUGUCCACAGGAAUGUACAGACACCAGAUAAGAAAAGGCUAAAUAUUUCUGGAUUGGGUUAAACGGAGAAGGAGAAAAGACGGAUUUGGCUUGAUGACUCCCAAUGAAAAGGAUACAGGUUGGCAUUAAAAGGAAAUGCAGAUGGCAAGAACUGUGCUGCUUUCCAAAGGAAGGAGAAGAUCCUCCAUGAUAGCUGCCAUUUUAAACGGAUGGAUCUUCAAGAAAAAAUGCAACCCUGCUGGCUGGCUGAGACCCUACAGGAUACUAGACAAUGUGUUUUAUAGAAUGAUACAUCUUCUUGCACUUUGAGAUAUUUGGCUAUAAAUAAUAAUGGGUUUUAUCCAAAGUCCAGUGAAGUAGAUGAAAAGACCACCCUCCCUAAAAUAGACUUUGGAUUAAGCCUUCUAAGAAGAUUCCACAGAAGCUAAAAUACUCCGCAGUGAUGUGUAUCACUGACUGUAUUAGGGGCAGCUGGGCAUUGUCAGACCUGAACUCCCUUGCUGUUAGAUGUUUAAACCACAGUAUAUUUGAUCAAACAAAGCAUUAUUUGAUGCAGCAUUAAAAGGGAGCAGAGAGGGUGGCUGGGACUUAGUGUGACUAUAUCUCAGCACAUAUGGCUAUGGGGGUGGGAGGGCGUGUCACUGGCAGCUCAGCCUCACUGCCUGGCCAGUUCAGAUGGUUUCACAGUCACAAACACAUCAGGCUGUUUAUCUUUCACCAAGGCGUGUAUUUAUUUUCCUCUUACAUAGUAAUACCAUGUAAUACAGUCUUACAGCAAGGAUAGGCUUCCCUGCAGUCCCCACCCCCCAGCUCCGGCAACCCCCUUCCAAGCCUCCUUCUGAGUUGCCCCAUGCCUCCUGUUUCCUCCCCUUAUAUUCUCCCCAAUUACCUUGUUAGCUCAGUGAUUGUCACCCAAGUGCUCACUCCUCAACUGAAAAGGUGUAUAAGUGCCCUCAGCUCGGCCUGCAGCCUUCCUCAGACUACAGCAAUAUCAGUGAUCAGGAUGCUGCUGAUAGCUCCCUGUCACACACCUCCCCCCUUAUUUCAACUGAGGCCCUUUCUUGCCUCCAAAUGAGGCCUUCUUUGCUGCCCAUAUCUUACCUUCAUGCCUCACUAUGGGGUUGGGAUUC